rnacentral:rRNA from 1 species
UACAGAGGGGGGCAAGCGUUUAUUCGGAAUUAUUGGGCGUAAAGGGCGCGUAGGCGGCUUGGCAAGUGGAAGGUGAAAUCCCUCGGCUUAACCGAGGAACUGCCCUCCAAACUGCUUGGCUUGAGACCGGGAGAGGUGAGUGGAAUUCCCAGUGUAGCGGUGAAAUGCGUAGAUAUUGGGAGGAACACCAGUGGCGAAGGCGGCUCACUGGACCGGUACUGACGCUGAUGCGCGAAAGCGUGGGGAGCAAACGGG